rnacentral:rRNA from 1 species
AUUGAACGCUGGCGGCAUGCCUUACACAUGCAAGUCGAACGGCAGCACGGGAGCAAUCCUGGUGGCGAGUGGCGAACGGGUGAGUAAUAUAUCGGAACGUGCCCAGUCGUGGGGGAUAACGUAGCGAAAGCUACGCUAAUACCGCAUACGAUCUAUGGAUGAAAGCGGGGGAUCGCAAGACCUCGCGCGAUUGGAGCGGCCGAUAUCAGAUUAGGUAGUUGGUGAGGUAAAGGCUCACCAAGCCGACGAUCUGUAGCUGGUCUGAGAGGACGACCAGCCACACUGGGACUGAGACACGGCCCAGACUCCUACGGGA